AUCGAGUGAUUCAAAGUUCCUCAGAUAGAUACGGAAAAGAUCUACAACUUGGCGUUGGUCUCAUCCUCAAAUUCGUUACGGAUUGUCCGUGGUGAAAGCCCUCUUCAAUACCUUCAUUUUGGCGGUGGUUUCACUUUGAUUGACCUCCUGAAACUGAAAUGGUUCACAGGUCAAGAUCUGGUCAGAUCUGACUUUGUCGAAUUAAACCAGGAGCUUGGGAACGAAUCUUUGAGUGAAACAAAUUGGACGCGAGCAAUUCCGGAGAAGAAGAAGAAGUGGAAUUGGACAAGGAUUUUUUUUCUAUUGUUGGGAUUCUUAUAUUGAUAGAGUUGAAGAAGUACAGGGACAAAUAAGCCAAGGCAAGCCAUCUUUUGAUCUCUGAUCCGGUGUCUACUUGGAUGUCAUUUGUUGAUGUUCAAAGCACCUUCAUUCUAUGUGUGUUAUUAUCUCUAUUUAUGUCAUCUAUGUGUGUUUGCAAGUGGGGUACUCCCUAGUGGUGAUGCUCCACUAUUUGUCCUUGUGUUAUGGGAUGCAUGGUAACAUGGCCGUGCUAUCCCACUUGGUUAUCUUGUAUGCUCAACUUGAGCAUGUUCCAUCUCAAGAUAGUAACUUACACCACACCCACCCCUUUUGUAGUAUAGAGGUAUCAAUGUCAUGAUCUUGGUGUAUUCUCAACUUGAGAGGAGUAUGCCGUGUACCAUCU